AAAACAAAGCAGAGGCUUACCCGCUUCUCACCUGCCGCCAAAGGCUCAGCAGGUUAAAUACAAACAAUCGUUUGGUUAUUAUUGCGGGUAGCGUAUGCUGCCCGCUUUUUUUAUAAAAC
rfam:Catabacter hongkongensis strain HKT16 2806ref_2ab_c12, whole genome shotgun sequence.